UCCCUGGUAGUAUAUCGGCUAGUACACUCAUAUCAUAUCAUAUCACGCACUUGACAUGGAUUGCAAAACCUGAAAUCUCUAUUUAUAAACCACGCGAAAGCUGGGUUCAAUUCCCAGCCAGGGUA